rnacentral:rRNA from 1 species
GACGAACGCUGGCGGCGUGCUUAACACAUGCAAGUCGAGCGGAAAGGCCCUUCGGGGUACUCGAGCGGCGAACGGGUGAGUAACACGUGAGUAACCUGCCCCAGACUUUGGGAUAACCCUCGGAAACGGGGGCUAAUACCGGAUACGACACAGCUUCGCAUGGGGUCUGUGUGGAAAGUUUUUCGGUUUGGGAUGGGCUCGCGGCCUAUCAGCUUGUUGGUGGGGUGAUGGCCUACCAAGGCGACGACGGGUAGCCGGCCUGAGAGGGCGACCGGCCACACUGGGACUGAGACACGGCCCAGACUCCUACGGGAGGCAGCGGUGGGGAAUGUUACACAAUGGGCGGAAGCCUGAUGCAGCGGCGCCGCGUGAGGGGUGACGGCCUUCGGGUUGUAAACCUCUUUCAGCAGGGACGAAGCGUAAGUGACGGUACCUGCAGAAGAAGCGCCGGCCAACUACGUG